GACGAACGCUGGCGGCGUGCUUAACACAUGCAAGUCGAACGGAAAGGCCCUGCUUUUGUGGGGUGCUCGAGUGGCGAACGGGUGAGUAACACGUGAGUAACCUGCCCUUGACUUUGGGAUAACUUCAGGAAACUGGGGCUAAUACCGGAUAGGAGCUCCUGCUGCAUGGUGGGGGUUGGAAAGUUUCGGCGGUUGGGGAUGGACUCGCGGCUUAUCAGCUUGUUGGUGGGGUAGUGGCUUACCAAGGCUUUGACGGGUAGCCGGCCUGAGAGGGUGACCGGCCACAUGGGGAAUGAGAAACGGCCAAGACUCCGACGGGAGGAAGAGGGGGGGAAUGUGGAAAAAGGGGGGGAAGCCGGAUGCAGAAACGCCGGGGGAGGGAGGACGGCCUUCGGGUGGUAAACCGCUUUCGCCGGUGAGGAAGGGGGAGGGAGGGAAAGGGGUAAAGAAGAACGGAAAAAAAAGGGG
rnacentral:rRNA from 1 species